GUAGUCGCGAUCCUGAGGUAACGGAUAAGUUUAUACCAUGGAUAGCACAAAGGAGAAGUGUGACAGUUACAAAGAUGAUCUUCUGCUUAGGAUGGGACUUAAUGAUAAUAAAGCAGGAAUGGAAGGAUUAGAUAAAGAGAAAAUUAACAAAAUUAUAAUGGAAGCCACAAAGGGGUCCAGAUUUUAUGGAAAUGAGCUCAAGAAAGAAAAGCAAGUCAACCAACGAAUUGAAAAUAUGAUGCAACAAAAAGCUCAAAUCACCAGCCAACAGCUAAGAAAAGCACAAUUACAGGUUGACAGAUUUGCAAUGGAAUUAGAACAGAGCCGAAAUUUGAGCAAUACCAUAGUGCACAUUGACAUGGAUGCUUUCUAUGCAGCUGUAGAAAUGAGGGACAAUCCAGAAUUGAAGGAUAAACCCAUUGCUGUAGGAUCAAUGAGUAUGCUGUCUACUUCAAAUUACCAUGCAAGGAGAUUUGGUGUUCGUGCAGCCAUGCCAGGAUUUAUUGCUAAGAGGCUGUGCCCACAACUUAUAAUAGUGCCCCCAAACUUUGACAAAUACCGAGCUGUGAGUAAAGAGGUUAAGGAAAUACUUGCUGAUUAUGAUCCCAAUUUUAUGGCCAUGAGUCUUGAUGAAGCCUACUUGAAUAUAACAAAGCACUUAGAAGAAAGACAAAAUUGGCCUGAGGAUAAAAGAAGGUAUUUCAUCAAAAUGGGAAGCUCUGUAGAAAAUGAUAAUCCAGGAAAGGAAGUUAAUAAACUGAGUGAGCAUGAACGAUCCAUCUCUCCACUACUUUUUGAAGAGAGUCCUUCUGAUGUGCAGCCCCCAGGAGAUCCUUUCCAAGUGAACUUUGAAGAACAAAACAAUCCUCAAAUACUCCAAAACUCAGUUGUUUUUGGAACAUCAGCCCAGGAAGUGGUAAAGGAAAUUCGUUUCAGAAUUGAGCAGAAAACAACACUGACAGCCAGUGCAGGUAAUAACUUGAUUAUUAGUUUUUCCUUGGGAGACUUCAAUCCUGUCCAAGAUUACAUUGCAGGAGAGAACCCAGACGGCCACAAGGCAUUGCCCCAAAUACAAUGUUAGCAAAAGUAUGCAGUGAUAAGAAUAAACCAAAUGGACAAUACCAAAUUCUUCCCAAUAGACAAGCUGUGAUGGACUUCAUCAAGGAUUUACCCAUUAGAAAGGUUUCUGGAAUAGGAAAAGUUACAGAGAAAAUGUUAAAGGCCCUUGGAAUUAUUACAUGUACAGAACUUUACCAACAGAGGGCAUUGCUUUCUCUCCUUUUCUCUGAAACAUCUUGGCAUUAUUUCCUUCAUAUCUCCUUGGGUCUAGGUUCAACACACCUGACGAGGGAUGGAGAGAGGAAAAGUAUGAGCGUUGAGAGGACAUUCAGUGAGAUAAAUAAAGCGGAAGAGCAAUACAGCCUAUGUCAAGAACUUUGCAGUGAGCUUGCUCAGGAUCUACAGAAAGAAAGACUUAAGGGUAGAACUGUUACCAUUAAGUUGAAGAAUGUGAAUUUUGAAGUAAAAACUCGUGCAUCUACAGUUUCAUCUGUUGUUUCUACUGCAGAAGAAAUAUUUGCCAUUGCUAAGGAAUUGCUAAAAACAGAAAUUGAUGCUGAUUUUCCACAUCCCUUGAGAUUAAGGCUUAUGGGUGUUCGGAUAUCUAGUUUUCCCAAUGAAGAGGACAGGAAACGCCAACAAAGGAGCAUUAUUGGCUUUUUACAGGCUGGAAACCAAGCCCUGUCAGCCACUGAGUGUACAUUAGAGAAAACUGACAAAGAUAAGUUUGUGAAACCUCUAGAAAUGUCUCAUAAGAAGAGUUUCUUUGAUAAAAAACGAUCAGAAAGGAAAUGGAGUCACCAAGAUACAUUUAAAUGUGAAGCCGUGAAUAAACAAAGUUUCCAGACAUCACAACCAUUCCAAGUUUUAAAGAAGAAGAUAAAUGAGAAUUUGGAAAUAUCAGAGAAUUCAGAUGACUGUCAGAUAUUUACCUGUCCUGUUUGCUUUAGGACUCAAGGGUGCAUCAGUCUGGAAGCCUUGAAUAAACAUGUAGAUGAAUGUCUUGAUGGACCUUCAAUCAGUGAAAACUUUAAAAUGUUCUCGUGUUCACAUGUUUCUGCUACCAAAGUUAACAAGAAAGAAAAUGUUCCUGCUUCUUCACUUUGUGAGAAGCAAGAUUAUGAAGCCCAUCCAAAAAUUAAAGAAAUAUCUUCAGUAGAUUGUAUAGCUUUAGUAGAUACUAUAGAUAACUCAUCUAAAGCAGAAAGCAUAGAUGCUUUAAGUAAUAAGCAUAGCAAGGAAGAAUGUUCUAGUCUCCCAAGCAAGUAUUUUAAUAUUGAACACUGUCAUCAGAAUUCUUCUUCUACUGUUUCAUUGGAAAACGAAGAUGUUGGAUCAUUAAGUAGACAAGAAUACCGCCAGCCUUACUUAUGUGAAGUGAAAACAGGCCAAGCUCUAGUUUGUCCUGUUUGUAACGUAGAACAAAAGACUUCAGAUCUAACCCUGUUCAAUGUGCAUGUGGAUGUUUGCUUAAAUAAAAGUUUUAUCCAAGAAUUAAGAAAGGAUAAAUUUAACCCAGUUAAUCAACCCAAAGAAAGCUCCAGAAGUACUGGUAGCUCAAGUGGAGUACAGAAGGCUGUAACAAGAACAAAAAGGCCAGGAUUGAUGACAAAGUACUCAACAUCAAAGAAAAUAAAACCAAACAAUCCCAAACAUACCCUUGAUAUAUUUUUUAAGUAAACAUUGAACAUUUUAUCAUUAAUUUUUAAUUGAAACUAGUUAUUUUUUAAUCAAUGAAUUUGUUCUUCUGAAUUUAAGUUUGCAGAUUUAUUUAGUGAAGGCAAGUGCAAUAAUCCUUCCUCAGAUGAUGUUUGCUUUUCUAAGAUACAUAUACUGAUUCUGUGUAUCUUUUUUAUAACCAUGAGAAUUUUACUUCCAUAAUACAUCAAUUGGAAAUCAAUCCUGUUAAGAGAUAAUUCUUAAAAGGGAAAUUAGGAAUGGGAUAAAAAGGUGAUUUUUUUAUUAUUUUUAUACUGAAUAUAAAAACAUUUGUAAGGGCUCUCAAAGAUUCACACAUGCCUAUAUUAUCAUAAGAAUUUUUCAGCACUUAACUACUUUGUUGGCAUUGAUCCUAGUAUCUUUAAAUACUUCAUGAGCAUUCAUAAUUAAAAUUUAUUUUAAGUUCUAUGAAGAGUAUUAAUGUAACUAGCAUAAGUGGUUUUCUUCAGGAAAAUAAAUAUCACAGUAUUAUCUGUGUUAAAAUGGUUUUUGCCUAAAAUAUAAUUUUUAAUUUGGCUUUUCUUAUUUAAAAUUCCAUUAUCUUAUGAAUAAGCACUUGAAUCAGUUUUUAAAAUAUUUAGUCUAAGAUGAUUCAAAGUAGUUUUAUUUUAAUACAGGACUUUUAAAUGGCAGUAUUUCAUUUCUUGUCAAUUAUGUUGGUACUUUCCACAAAUCUAUAAAGAAGGAUAAAUUGUACCAUCAUUUUAUUAUAAUCCUCAAGAGAAAAUGUGUAAUUCAAAAGAUUAAUGUGUAUUAAAACACAUUAUGUAUCUUAGUUACAUUUCUAUCAGUAUUUUUAUUAAUAUUUGUGAAAGAAGACAGCUUAAUAGUAGUUAGCUUAAGUAGUUUCUCCAAGUACUUUUGUGCUAUCAAUGAGUUCUUCUCAAAAAAUAAUUAGUUAGGCCAGGCACAAUGGCUCACACCUGUAAUGCCAGCCCUUUGGGAGGCCGAGUGGGCAGAUCACUUGAGGUCAGGAGUUUGAGACCAGCCUCGCCAACAUGGUGAGACCCUGUCUCUACUAAAACGAUUAAAAAAAAAAAAAAAA
rnacentral:sRNA from 1 species